GAACCAGUGGUCUAGUGGCUGUACAGUACCCUGCCACGGUCCAGACCCGGGUUCAAAUCCCGGGUGAUGCA
rnacentral:tRNA from 1 species